rnacentral:lncRNA from 1 species
AACUACUGUGAAAGUACUUUUAUUCGUGUGGUACCAAUUUUCGUGGUUUUCGUGGAUGACUUUAUCCACGAAUUUAAGUGUCCAACGAAAUAAAACAACCAUUGUCCAAAUGAAGACAUGGAAAGAUCCCCAUGAAGGUUUGACUACUGAUAUGGUCUAGAGAAUAUAUUGCAUAACCUCGAAUCAGAGAAUACUUUAAUAGCAGUCACAGAACAUAACUUUUGAUCUUUUAAUUCUCAUAAAAAUAUUUUUUUCCGAUGAAAGUCAGAUUUCCGAUAUUGAUAUGUUAGUAUGAUAAAGUGUUCAUUUUAUAUCCUCAUAGUUCUCGUACACAUGAGAAAUAAUAGUUUAAUGCUGGGCUUGAUUUUGAUAAGAAUUAUUUGACAAUUCAAGAUACGUUUAUAGCAUUUGUUUAUGAUACUGAUUUAUUUAGGUGACAUGUUUAUGGCCUAAUUAACACCUUUGAUGGUCCUUAAUCUGUUGAUAACUUUAUCUUGGGUUAAUAAGUGUUUUCACUACGAUUUACAUGGGUCAAUGUUUUCUUUGCAAUUUCCUUCAAUCCAGACUAUUUGUAACCUUUGUUCAUAAGGCUUUAAUUAAUUUUUUUUUAGAAAACUGAAAUCCACGAAUUUAAAAACCCACGAACAUGUAAAAAUUGCUUAAACCACGAAAAUUAAUAUCCACGAAUUAAAGUACUUUCACAGUAAAUA